UUGGGUGUCAACUAAUGCAAAUUCCUAUUUUCACCUAGGGACAGAGCUGCCUUUCCUCAUCUAGAUCUAGUCUUCAUCUCCUCCAAGCAUGGGUGUUAUCAUUUGAAGAGGUGAUGACAGUGAUGGAUGAUCUGGUGUGAUUUCCAAAGAAUGGGAAGAGCCACACUGAAGUGAGACCUCCACAGAAAAUUCCUUGUAGUGAUGUGUGGCAGUAUGUUACAUAACAGCUCUGCUCUCUGAGGGCUUCCAAGACAGAGCUGCAGAGACGUCAACAAUAAAACAGACUGGAUGGAAAUGACCCACCGUCUCCUCUGCCUCUGACACCAUCAAGAACGUUGCCAGCUGGGAUCCAAGAGCAGAUUCUUUAUUACAGUGAUGAUGUAAGAGGCAGAGAGAACAGCUGGAUUUCCAGACUCUGGGAAAAAUGUGUAGACCCAGCAGCCUCUCAGAAUUAUCUUUUGACUUAAAAACUGUGUACAUUGAAUAUGGGAGUCAUUGCAAUAGAAUAAAUAUGAAACCUCAUGAA